UACGGAGGGUGCAAGCGUUAAUCGGAAUUACUGGGCGUAAAGCGCACGCAGGUGGCUUAGUCAGUCGAUUGUGAAAGCCCUGGGCUUAACCUGGGAAUUGCAGUCGAUACUACUCGGCUUGAGUAUGGGAGAGGGCAGUGGAAUUCUCGGUGUAGCGGUGAAAUGUGUAGAGAUCGGGAGGAACACCGGUGGCGAAGGCGGGUCUCUGGGCAUCUCCUGACGCUGAGGUGCGAAAGCGUGGGGAGCAAACAGG
rnacentral:rRNA from 1 species